CAUGGGUUGUUCAGCUGACUGUCCAGCUUUCUGCUGAAAGGCAGGUACAAAUGUCAAGGCUGGACACACUGGAGAGAGGGAGGCCAGCAUGAGAAGACAGAGAACAGCACUGAUACAAAACCCAACCAAAUUCAAAGAGUGUCUCCUCAGUGCUGCCAUGACAAGUUUUCAUUCCUGUGAUCAGAAUGAUUCAAAGAAGGCUGAUUGCCAUCCAAAGUGUGACUCCGAAAAAGCAGCUAAUCAUGACCGGCAGUAAUGUGCAGAACCUCUGUGACGAAGGAAGCCCUGAAGAAUAAAAGUCUAGGACAAGGUGGCAAGUCAUCCAGGACAGUGCAGACUGCUAUGACACCAGUGACACAUCUCCCUGUCCCAGCAGCACUGCAAAGACAAGCCAUUCUCCUCCCUGAAGUUCAGUGUACCUCAGCCAGGGAGCCACAAGCCAGGAAAGCCAUCCUCUGCUGGAAGAGUGUCUGUCUGGUCCCAGCAGGUCUCCUGUCAUCUCUCUGAGGCCCAGUCUCAGGUCUCUUCAGCUCACCUUCUGAUCCUGUUUCUUUGGAAAAGCAGCCCAUCCUGCAGCUAGCACAACCAGGCAUCCACCCUGAGGAGCCAAAAUUCACUAGAGGCUCUGGCACCACUUCCCUGUUUCUAGAAGAGUCACUGCAACCCCUGUUUGUGUUCAACCUCCUCGUCUGUCAUCUCACAAACUCGAGCCACACGUGGAGCAAGGUGGGCCACUGUCAGCUGCUGCAGAGUCAAGCAUGGAGAGUAAGCAGCUACUGUUCUGAUACUUAUGGGGAAAGUAAAAUCUCAAAGUCUUGAGGUCCUGGAUUUCCCAAUACAUAAAUGAAACAACUCUGUGGCUUCAGGCUCACACGGUUUUCCAGCAUGCCUUGAUCUUAGCAGGAUCAUGGGUCUGACCAGCUUCUGCAUUCAUUCCCACAGCUGCCAGCCUUGCUGUUGCAUUUUAGCAAAGAAAACGUGGCUGUAGCAUUUGAAGGGGAUCCAAUGGGUGUAGAAAUAUGCUCCAAGGAUUUACUGACUACCCAAAGUUUGAGUUCACCAAUAUGACCCACCCCAAGCUUUAAAAAUCUUGGAAAUGUAUUGGAAAAGUGAUGAGGUUGAAAUAAAAUCAUCAAAUGUAAAGAUAAUAA